UAUCACUCGAGCACAGAAAUUUUUAAAUCGGAAGCCGUAGAGUUUAUUUACCGUAUCAAACAUCAAGCAAUAAACAUUCAUUCUCAACAGUUUUCAUUUUCCGAAUUUUCAUUAUUUCAAUAUCGUCGGAAAUAUUUUUCGGUCAGGUUGGAUAUUAUACAGAUCGGUCGAGAUCGGUACAAAACAUUGAUAAAUUGUAUCGUUUACGUCGGUACUUUUAAACAAUUUGUAUUUGACACGGUUAUUUAAAAUUUCUUCGUUUGUAAUUUUCGAUGGUCUUUCUAAUAAUUCCCCUUCAAACGGUC